rnacentral:rRNA from 1 species
CAGGGUUUGACAUCUAGGGAAUCCGCCGGAAACGGUGGAGUGCCUUCGGGAGCCCUAAGACAGGUGCUGCACGGUCGUCGUCAGCUCGUGCUGUGAAGUGUCCCGUUAAGUCGGUAAACGAGCGCAACCCCUUUCGUAUGUUGAAUUUUUCAUACGAGACUGCCGGUGUUAAAUCGGAGGAAGGUGGGGAUGACGUCAGAUCAGCGUGGCCCUUACACCCUGGGCGACACACGUGUUACAAUGGGUAGCAACAAAGGGUUGCAAAACCGCAAGGUGAAGCUAAUCCCGCAAAACCUACCCCCAGUUCGGAUUGAGGUCUGCAACUCGACCUCAUGAAGUCGGAAUCGCUAGUAACCGUAGGUCAGCCAUACUACGGUGAAUACGUUCU